GUAAGGAAUAUUGGGCAAUGGAGGCAACUCUGACCCAGCCAUGCCGCGUGAAGGAUUGACGGCCCUCUGGGUUGUAAACUUCUUUUGUACGGGAAUAACCCUCCGAACGUGUUCGGAGCUGAAGGUACCGUAAGAAUAAGGAUCGGCUAACUCCGUGCCAGCAGCCGCGGUAAUACGGAGGAUCCAAGCGUUAUCCGGAUUUACUGGGUUUAAAGGGUGCGUAGGCGGAUUGAUAAGUCAGUGGUGAAAUCCUGCAGCUUACCUGCAGAACUGCCAUGGAUACUGCCAGUCUGGAGUAUGGUUGAGGUAGCUGGAAUGUGUCAUGUAGCGGUGAAAUGCUUAGAGAUGACACAGAACACCGACGGCGAAGGCAGGUUACCAACCCAUUACUGACGCUGAGGCACGAAAGCGUGGGGAUCAAACAGGAUUAGAAACCCGAGUAGUCC
rnacentral:rRNA from 1 species